GAUGAACGCUGGCGGCGUGCCUAAUACAUGCAAGUCGUGCGAACCGCUUCGGUGGUGAGCGGCGAACGGGUGAGUAACACGUAGGUCAUCUGCCCACAAGACGGGGAUAACGGUUGGAAACGACCGCUAAUACCGGAUAGGAUGCAAAUUUAAAGGAGCUUUCGGGCUUCGCUUGUGGAUGAGCCUGCGGCGCAUUAGCUUGUUGGUGGGGUAAAGGCCUACCAAGGCGACGAUGCGUAGCCGACCUGAGAGGGUGAACGGCCACACUGGGACUGAGACACGGCCCAGACUCCUACGGGAGGCAGCAGUAGGGAAUCUUCGGCAAUGGGCGAAAGCCUGACCGAGCAACGCCGCGUGAGUGAAGAAGGUUUUCGGAUCGUAAAACUCUGUUAUAAGGGAAGAACGGCAGGAGCAGGAAAUGGUUUCUGUGUGACGGUACCUUAUGAGAAAGCCACGGCUAACUACGUGCCAGCAGCCGCGGUAAUACGUAGGUGGCAAGCGUUAUCCGGAAUUAUUGGGCGUAAAGAGCGCGCAGGCGGUUUGUUAAGUCUGAUGUGAAAGCCCCCGGCUCAACCGGGGAGGGUCAUUGGAAACUGGCGAACUUGAAUGCAGAAGAGGGUAGUGGAAUUCCAUGUGUAGCGGUGAAAUGCGUAGAGAUAUGGAGGAACACCAGUGGCGAAGGCGGCUACCUGGUCUGUGAUUGACGCUGAGGCGCGAAAGCGUGG
rnacentral:rRNA from 1 species